AAAGUGGGGGAAAGAAUCUUAGGACACAGUCCUUGCCACUAGACACCAACUUCUAAAAGAAGAAUUGCCAUCUUGAGUGAGAAACAGCUUCAGAGAUUGUACCUGCAGACCAGUGAAGGCUCAAGAAAGCUAUGUGUCACAGAAGAUGAAAUGCCCCCACCCAGUGUUAGAAGCAGACACUGCUCUAAGUGUUUCAAACAGAGGGUACCAAUAACAAAAGAAGUCUAGAUGGGGCCUUGGAGAAGGAAAGACCAACAAGAAAACCUGUAAGGCAACACAGAUUGACCACAGCGGGAAGUUCUACUACCUUUAGGUGUCUGUGCUUCUACAUGCUGCUGCAUCCGUACAGUAGCUCUGAAAUCACAAGAAUACGAUGACUGUAGAAGGAAGAAACAGAACUCGAGAUGCUUAUAUCCAUCAUUCUACAUGCAUAUCAACCCUGGAUACCUACAAUGAUCACUCAGUAGGAUAAAGUUAACUCACAUAGGCUACUUCUUAAAAACACAUGGUCUUAUCUUACCAGAGUACGCCUGGCAUGUCCUGUUUUUCCAGUCUCAACAUGGCAUCCUUUUGUGGUGCCUCUUUGCCUACCUUUCCCAGAAUUAUCUUCGUCUCCUAACCCCAUCUAUCUUCCUGCCUCUCCUAGAUAUUGGCCAAACAAUGUUUUAUUCAUCAACCAAUAAGAGAAACAUAUAUACAGAAGGACAUCCCCAUCACACAUAGGCUACUUCUUAACAAUUAUAUUCAAAGGAAACUGUGGUUGGUAUGUAAAAUAAAUUCAAAAGUUAAUAAAAAAUAUUUAAAAGGAUAUUCAUAUGAAUUAAAAUAUUCAUCCAAUUUCUUUUCCUUUUCAUAGUAAUAUUUGCUUUUUACUAAC
rnacentral:lncRNA from 1 species